rnacentral:misc_RNA from 1 species
GAUUUGCAUUUCUUGGUUUCUAGUUUGUUAGAUUAGGAAUUGUCUUCUUUGUCCUUUUAAUUUAACCCUUUCAAUUUUCAAUUUGUAAAUUCUUUCAACUUCUCUGUCGUUUUUCUUGAGAUCUUUUCUUCGACAUCUGUUAACAAUAAGGAUAGGAUUUUAUCAGCUCCGUCUAUUCACAACUCAAUUUUAUAUAUUUUGUAAAUUAUUUCAGGUAAAGCACAAUAAUUUAUUUU